rnacentral:rRNA from 1 species
UACAGAGGUGGCAAGCGUUGUUCGGAAUUACUGGGCGUAAAGGGCGCGUAGGCGGUGUGUCAAGUCAGGCGUGAAAGCCCCGGGCUCAACCUGGGAACCGCGCUUGAGACUGGCACGCUCGAGUUCGGGAGAGGAUGGUGGAAUUCCCAGUGUAGAGGUGAAAUUCGUAGAUAUUGGGAAGAACACCGAUGGCGAAGGCAGCCAUCUGGACCGACACUGACGCUGAGGCGCGAAAGCGUGGGGAGCAAACAGGG